ACUGGCGGUAUGCCUUACACAUGCAAGUCGAACGGCAGCAUGGAAGAGCUUGCUCUUCUGAUGGCGAGUGGCGAACGGGUGAGUAAAGCAUCGGAACGUACCGUGUAGUGGGGGAUAACGUAGCGAAAGUUACGCUAAUACCGCAUACGCACUGAGGUGGAAAGCAGGGGAUCGCAAGACCUUGCGCUAUACGAGCGGCCGAUGUCAGAUUAGCUAGUUGGUAGGGUAAAGGCCUACCAAGGCGACGAUCUGUAGCGGGUCUGAGAGGAUGAUCCGCCACACUGGGACUGAGACACGGCCCAGACUCCUACGGGAGGCAGCGGUGGGGAAUUUUGGACAAUGGGCGAAAGCCUGAUCCAGCCAUGCCGCGUGAGUGAAGAAGGCCUUCGGGUUGUAAAGCUCUUUCGGCUGGGAAGAAAUCGCACAGGCUAAUACUCUGUGUGGAUGACGGUACCAGCACAAGAAGCACCGGCUAACUACGUG
rnacentral:rRNA from 1 species